CAAACCUCCUGAGACGGAGCCUGUGACAUUACAGCGGUGAUGUGAUUUCCCCGCCACCGCUACUGACCUGAUCCACAUCAGUCAGUCGGUUUUAAUGAAAUGUCGGAGGUUUGAGAAGAGAUGAUCCAGUUUUGGCGAGCCAGGAUCCAUCCAGGAGGUGCAGGAACAGUAUCCCGCCUACUGUGGAGCGACAACAACCUUCAACUUCAGAACAGAUACCGUAAGCACAUGAUCUCAACUAACACACUACCCGGGUAGUAACGACAAUAUUCACGCACACCACACUCCUGAACUGAGGAGAACUGAAAAGAACUGAACUGGGUUUACAUGUUUGUUUUUCCUGUAUUGUAAUAAAAGGAGGUGUUCUCUUUAAGCCUUA